AAUUGGAGGGCAAGUCUGGUGCCAGCAGCCGCGGUAAUUCCAGCUCCAAUAGCGUAUAUUAAAGUUGUUGCAGUUAAAAAGCUCGUAGUUGAAUUUCGGGAUCAGUACGCUGGUCGUGCCUCCGGUAUGUACUGGUGUCACUGAUUCCUCCCUUCUGAAGAACUAUCAUGCCAUUCACUUGGUGUGGUGGGGAAUCAGGACUGUUACUUUGAAAAAAUUAGAGUGUUUAAAGCAGGCUCGCGCUUGAAUACAUUAGCAUGGAAUAAUGAAAUAGGACGUUUAUCCUAUUUUGUUGGUUUCUAGGAUUGACGUAAUGAUUAAUAGGGAUAGUUGGGGGCAUUAGUAUUCAAUUGUCAGAGGUGAAAUUCUUGGGUUUAUUGAAGACUAACUACUGCGAAAGCAUUUGCCAAGGAUGUUUUCAUUAAUCAAGAACGAAAGUUAGGGGAUCGAAGACGAUCAGAUACCGUCGUAGUCUUAACCAUAAACUAUGCCGACUAGGGAUCGGAUGAUGUUAAUUUUUUAAUGACUCAUUCGGCGCCUUACGGGAAACCAAAGUGU
rnacentral:rRNA from 1 species